UACGAAGGGGGCUAGCGUUGUUCGGAAUCACUGGGCGUAAAGCGCGCGUAGGCGGAUCAUUAAGUCAGGGGUGAAAUCCCGAGGCUCAACCUCGGAACUGCCUUUGAUACUGACGAUCUUGAGUCCGAGAGAGGUGAGUGGAACUCCGAGUGUAGAGGUGAAAGUCGUAGAUAUUCGGAAGAACACCAGUGGCGAAGGCGGCUCACUGGCUCGGUACUGACGCUGAUGUGCGAAAGCGUGGGGAGCAAACAGG
rnacentral:rRNA from 1 species